rnacentral:rRNA from 1 species
GACGGAGGGUGCAAGCGUUAUCCGGAAUGAUUGGGCGUAAAGCGUCCGCAGGUGGCAGUUCAAGUCUGCUGUGAAAGACCGGGGCUUAACUUCGGAAAGGCAGUGGAAACUGAACAGCUAGAGUAUGGUAGGGGCAGAGGGAAUUCCUGGUGUAGCGGUGAAAUGCGUAGAGAUCAGGAAGAACAUCGGUGGCGAAGGCGCUCUGCUGGACCAUAACUGACACUCAGGGACGAAAGCUAGGGGAGCGAAUGGG